CCUACGGGAGGCAGCAGUGGGGGAUAUUGCACAAUGGGGGAAACCCUGAUGCAGCGACGCCGCGUGAGUGAAGAAGUAUUUCGGUAUGUAAAGCUCUAUCAGCAGGGAAGAAAAAAGACGGUGCCUGACUAAGAAUCCCCGGCUAACUACGUGCCAGCAGCCGCGGUAAUCCGUAGGGGACACGCGUUAUCCGGAUUUACUGGGUGUAAAGGGAGCGUGGACGGAAAUACAGGUCUGAAGUGAAAUACCCGGGCUCAACCUGGGAACUGCUUUGGAAACUGUAGGGCUAGAGUGCUGGAGAGGUAAGCGGAAUUCCUAGUGGAGCGGUGAAAUGCGUAGAUAUUAGGAGGAACACCAGUGGCGAAGGCGGCUUACUGGACAGUAACUGACGUUGAGGCUCGAAAGCGUGGGGAGCAAACAGGAUUAGAUACCCGAGUAGUC
rnacentral:rRNA from 1 species